rnacentral:rRNA from 1 species
UACGUAGGGGGCUAGCGUUGUCCGGAUUAUUGGGCGUAAAGAGCGUGUAGGCGGCCAGGUAGGUCUGCUGUGAAAACUCGAGGCUCAACCUCGAGACGUCGGCGGAAACCAUCUGGCUAGAGUCCGGAAGAGGAGAGUGGAAUUCCUGGUGUAGCGGUGAAAUGCGCAGAUAUCAGGAAGAACACCCGUGGCGAAGGCGGCUCUCUGGGACGGUACUGACGCUGAGGAGCGAAAGCGUGGGGAGCAAACAGG